rnacentral:lncRNA from 1 species
CCUCUGAGAGGAGUCCAGGGUAUAAAAACAGGCGUGGGCCUGUUUCCAAAACCCUGACCAUCCUCAUGUCUGUCCCUCUUUCCUGCUGCUGAGGGUGGGAGGAGCCUGGAGCAGAGUGUGACAAGAUGUCAUCAGGCUCUGGAGUCCAGGCGACUUUCUGAGAUUCUCUAGUUUGACUCAUCCACAGAUGACAAAAGUAAGGCUUAAAGAAAAGAGAUUUCAUGACCAAAGUCGCAUGACCAAUGUAUGUGUGGGUGAGCAUGUAGUGGCCAGGGUGGUGGAAGAAUAGAUAGAAAUCCCUGGGCUGGGCGAGGUGGCUCACGCCUGUAAUCCCAGCACUUUGGGAGACCGAGGCGGGUGGAUCACCUGAGGUCAGGAGUUUGGGACCAGCCUGGCCAACAUGGCAAAACCCUGUCUCUACUAAAAUAUAAGUAAGCCUAGCUUGUGGCAAAUCUGUCUCUCUGGACACUCCAGCAAGCUGGAAGGGACGAUGAUCAGAGGGCACAGUUUGGGAGUUGCCCUGCUCUAGGACAACGCUCCUCUCCACAUUGGAUGAAACUCAGUUUCCCCUGGCCAUGGCCUUCCUCACCAUGGAGUGGUGAGGGUCCGAGGCUGAGACGUGUGCAGAUGGAGGAGAAUGGGCAGAGGAGCCUGUGGGUUUUCUCUGACUCUAGGUCCCCACUCCAGCAAGACAGCGCCGCUGCAGCUUGGCCCAGCAAGUUCCUCCUUGCAGUUUGGGGGUCAAAGCCACAGUUCAUAUGAAACAAAAUGUUCCUCUGCCUGGUCUGGUCCUCUCUUUGUGUAUUUUCCUAGAGGACCUCACAGUGGGUGAGUGGCCAAGGAGAACAGGAUUUGUGGCUCUGGGAAACUGGAUUCCUGUCAUCUCCUGCCAGCUGUCAUCGCCACACCGAGGCUGU